UCCAGCUUCUCUGCAUGUAAACAUCUGGGCUGCCAAUGGAGUGGCCACCCAGGUUGAGUCUGAGCACAGUGUUGCCAUCCUGCACUGGCAGUUUUACAUGACAGUUUGGAUCAACUUGAAGCUCCCCUGAUCAGUCAAAAAGUAUGAGACCUACCUAAGAAAAUACCUGGUUCUUUGAUAAGAAGUCUAAAGUACAAGUCUGGGACAUCAACAAAGUCCUUCUAUAUCUCUAUGAACAGCACAUACAUCACUGAGGCCAGGCUAAACAACCCCUCUCUGGAUAAUCUGCUACAGUUCAACACAGCGCAGCCUGCAUUAUGAGCAUACAGUUGAAUCAGCACCCCUAUAAAAAAGCUUUUCCAUGGCAACGGCAGUCGAGGCUCAUGGGUACUGCAGCAUUUACAUUCACCAGCCACUUUAUUAGGUACACCUGUACAAUUGC